rnacentral:rRNA from 1 species
AGAGUUUGAUCAUGGCUCAGGAUGAACGCUGGCGGCGUGCUUAACACAUGCAAGUCGAACGAAGAUGCCGGAGUGCUUGCACUUUGGCAGACUGAGUGGCGGACGGGUGAGUAACGCGUGGGUAACCGUGCCUUAUACAGGGGGAGUAACAGUUGGAAACGACUGCUAAUACCGCAUAAGCGCACGGUAUCGCAUGAUACAGUGUGAAAAACUACCGGUGGUAUAAGAUGGACCCGCGUCUGAUUAGCUUGUUGGUGAGGUAACGGCUCACCAAGGCGACGAUCAGUAGCCGGCCUGAGAGGGUGAACGGCCACAUUGGGACUGAGACACGGCCCAAACUCCUACGGGAGGCAGCA